UUUGACCGUUAAACUGCCUGCUAUUGCGCAUGCGUGGUCUGUCUUCGCGGUAUUUUGCGCGGGGUCUCCUCUUCCAGACACGCCAUCAAAGGGACUGGAUUUCGCCUGGUUGAGGACUUGAGGUUUGGAAUACAGUGUAAACGUUUGCAAAUUUCCUCACAGAAGCAGAGAGGUCCUCCAGAAACACUACAGGUUUCACCACUAUCAAGGGCGAUCCUGGCAGCAGCCUUGCCUGUACACUGACUGCAUCUGCACGUUCAAAACUAUAGGAAAGGGAUGCAUUACAUGAGGAAUUGAAGAAGAAACAUCUCAACAUGGCAUUUGUUGACUCGAAAAUGGAAUCGACAUUCUCAUUGAGAAGGAAGGAGAUAGCUGAAGAAGAACCUCUUUUAGCUGAUGUACUAAGACAAUGACCAGCAUUGUUUUUGGAACAUCAGGUAAGUUUUAAAGAGUAACUUGUGAUUUUUUUCCCCCUGUAAGAUGAAUAGACUUACUGUACUCUUGCUGUAUUCUUAUUGUUAAUUCUGAUUUUUUAUUUUUUAGAUAUGUGCUGAGUUUUACAGAAUCACACAAACAAACCUGAAGAGUAAAUUUUUCUCUUCUCUGGAUGAAUAUACACCGCGGAUGAUCAAGUUGUAUAGGGUACGCGGCGGAGCAUAUGGAGAUAAUAUGAAGACCCUCCUAGACCAACUUGAUAAUCAGACCUCCGAUGUGCUUGCUCAUAGAAAGGCUACAGCUCUCAAAGGGAAAAGUCUGAACAUUUCCUGAAGACUUGCCUGGACACAGAGCCAGAAGAAAA
rnacentral:lncRNA from 1 species